CUGUGCAAGCGGACCAAGAUAAAGUCUAGGGGCUAAUAGAAUUCAUUUAUAUCAUAAUAAGGACUACACCCUUGUGUCAUCUUUCAUUUCUGAUCACGCUAGCUAUGCAAGCAGACCAAGCUAAAGUCUUGGGGCUGAUAUAAUUUAUUCAUAUCAUAAUAAGGACUACACCCUUGNGUAAUCUUUCAUUCCUGAUCACGCUAGCUAACAAGCGGAAUCAGCUGAAGUCUUGGUGCUAAUGUGGUUUACAACAUAAUAAAGAUUAGUACAGUCGUGUGUCAUCUUUCAUUCCUGACACGCUAGCUAACAAGCGCAACAAGCCGAGAUCAAAAGACUGAUAAACACUAGCGAAAGCAACAUCAUGUUUAAAGAUCAUUAAUCAAAGAUCUACUAACCAAUAUCGGAGGGACGUAAAAGAACCACUGAGGACGAUGACAAGUAAGCUUUAGACGAAGAGACGUUAUUUUGACAGUCUAUGAAGUUGAUGAAAAAAACUGAAGAAAGAGAACAAAGGACUAAGCAAGUUACUUCAACCCCAAGUUUAACAUAAAAUUUGUCAAGCCUGAGUGUAAUGUUGAACACUACGCGACGCGAAU
rnacentral:misc_RNA from 1 species